rnacentral:rRNA from 1 species
UACGAAGGGGGCUAGCGUUGCUCGGAAUCACUGGGCGUAAAGCGCACGUAGGCGGCUUCUUAAGUCAGGGGUGAAAUCCUGGAGCUCAACUCCAGAACUGCCUUUGAUACUGAGGAGCUUGAGUCCGGGAGAGGUGAGUGGAACUGCGAGUGUAGAGGUGAAAUUCGUAGAUAUUCGGAGGAACACCAGUGGCGAAGGCGGCUCACUGGUCCGGAACUGACGCUGAGAUGCGAAAGCGUGGGGGAGCAAACAGG